AGGUUUUUGGAUCGUAAACCCCUUUUGUCAAGGAAGAAGCUCUGACGGUACUUGACGAAUAAGCCUCGGCUAACUCCGUGCCAGCAGCCGCGGUAAUACGGAGGAGGCAAGCGUUAUCCGGAAUGAUUGGGCGUAAAGCGUCUGUAGGUGGCCAGCUAAGUCUGCUGUUAAAGAUCACAGCUCAACUGUGGGAAGGCAGUGGAAACUGGCAAGCUAGAGGUUGGUAGGGGUAAAGGGAAUUCCCGGUGUAGCGGUGAAAUGCGUAGAUAUCGGGAAGAACACCGGUGGCGAAAGCGCUUUACUGGGCCAGACCUGACACUGAAGGACGAAAGCUAGGGGAGCGAAAGGGAUUAGAUACCCCUGUAGUCA
rnacentral:rRNA from 1 species